rnacentral:rRNA from 1 species
CGACUAUUAAAACAAAGCAUUACGAGGGCCGCUGGUCGGUGCUGACGCAAUGUGAUUUCUGCCCAGUGCUCUGAAUGUCAUUGUGAAGAAAUUCAAAAAAGCGCAAGUAAACGGCGGGAGUAACUAUGACUUUCUUGUGGCUUUUGUUGGCGGCAGUUGCAGUGGUCGAGCAGGAGCG